GACGAACGCUGGCGGCGUGCCUAAUACAUGCAAGUUGAGCGCUGAAGGUUGGUACUUGUACCAACUGGAUGAGCAGCGAACGGGUGAGUAACGCGUGGGGAAUCUGCCUUUGAGCGGGGGACAACAUUUGGAAACGAAUGCUAAUACCGCAUAAAAACUUUAAACACAAGUUUUAAGUUUGAAAGAUGCAAUUGCAUCACUCAAAGAUGAUCCCGCGUUGUAUUAGCUAGUUGGUGAGGUAAAGGCUCACCAAGGCGAUGAUACAUAGCCGACCUGAGAGGGUGAUCGGCCACCUUGGGACUGAGACCCGGCCCAAACUCCUACGGGAGGCAGCAGUAGGGAAUCUUCGGCAAUGGACGAAAGUCUGACCGAGCAACGCCGCGUGAGUGAAGAAGGUUGUCGGAUCGUAAAACUCUGUUGGUAGAGAAGAACGUUGGUGAGAGUGGAAAGCUCAUCAAGUGACGGUAACUACCCAGAAAGGGACGGCUAACUACGUG
rnacentral:rRNA from 1 species